GAUGAACGCUGGCGGCGUGCCUAAUACAUGCAAGUCGAGCGAACGGACGAGAAGCUUGCUUCUCUGAUGUUAGCGGCGGACGGGUGAGUAACACGUGGAUAACCUACCUAUAAGACUGGGAUAACUUCGGGAAACCGGAGCUAAUACCGGAUAAUAUUUUGAACCGCAUGGUUCAAAAGUGAAAGACGGUCUUGCUGUCACUUAUAGAUGGAUCCGCGCUGCAUUAGCUAGUUGGUAAGGUAACGGCUUACCAAGGCAACGAUGCAUAGCCGACCUGAGAGGGUGGUCGGCCACGCUGGAACUGACACACGGUCCGGACUCCUACCGGAGGCAGCAGCGGGGAUUCUUCCGCAGUGGGCGAAAGCCUGAAGGAGCAUCGCCGCGUGAAUGAUGAAGGUCUUCGGAUCGUAAAACUCUGUUGUUAGGAAAGAACAUACGUGUAAGUAACUGCGCACAGCUUGCCGGUACCUAAUCAGAAAGCCACGGCUAACUGCGU
rnacentral:rRNA from 1 species